CUACGGGCGGCUGCAGUUAAGGAUUUUUUGCAAUGCGCGCAAGCGUGACAAAGCGAGCCAGAGUGAUUUCUCAUAAUGAGAUAUCUUUUGCCAAAUGUAAAUAGUUUGGCGAAUAAGGACUGGGAAAGACCGGUGCCAGCCGCCGCGGUAAUACCGGCAGUUCAAGUCGCAGCCACAUUUAUUGGGUCUAAAACAUCUGUAGCUUGUUUUGCAAGUCUUCUGUGAAAUCUCAUAUCUUAAGUAUGAGGCGAGCAGGAGAUACUGCAUUGCUAGAGACCGGAAGACGUAAGGAGAACGUAUGGGGUAUCGGUAAAAUGAGUUGAUCCUAUGCGGACUAACGAUAGCGAAGGCACCUUACGAGUACGGAUCUGACAGUGAGAGAUGAAGGCUAGGGUCGCGAAAGGGAUUAGAUACCCCAGUAGUC
rnacentral:rRNA from 1 species